AUCACUGACUACCCGUUUUUAUCUAUGGGUAUCCAAUACACAUCAUCGUUCCGAUUAACGAUUCCCAGUUAACGAACAGCAUCUCUGUCCCUCGUUGUUACCCUCUGCAAACCAAAGACCCUCAGAUCCGACUCACGACAUUGAAAGCGAUAGCCAUGGAGUAUGCCACUCGAAGAAGUCAAGGCGGCCUCUUUGAAGGUCUCUACAGGCUCAUCAUGUGCCGCAACUCCAUCUACGUCACCUUCGUUAUUGCUGGAGCUUUCGCCGGUGAACGGGCUGUGGAUUAUGGAGUUCGUAAGCUUUGGGAUUACAACAAUGCUGGGAAGCAUUAUGAAGACAUUCCAGUUUUAGGACAAAGGCAAUCAGAAGAAUGAGUGGAACUCCUUUUUCCUGCCAUUUUGAAGUUCCAUAUUGAAGAUUUGGAGUCAGCAUUAAUGUAGUGGAUAGCAAUUUUUGUAAUAAAUAUAAUUUGUUGGAUGCACCACACUUUUUUUG
rnacentral:misc_RNA from 1 species